UGAGCACUCUGCAGGUGCCAAGAAGUUCAAGGUCUUGACCUCCAGGACGUGGCCAACCCAGCUGGUCUGACCACCUGGCUCUCUGCUUCCUGCUCCCUUCCCGGGACACCUCUGUAUUUGGAGACACUUUCUCUGUGGAAGGUUGCAGGGCAAGAAGGGGAAGAAAGAAUGGACAUCAGCUUCUUGGGGACUGGUUAUGCUGAAAGCAAUUGAUUUCAGAGUCUGCAGGUCUAUUUGCAGAUCUGGUCUGUGGCCACAGAGUCCCUGGCAUGCCUGCAGGGGAAGGAAUAUCACCAUGGUCAAGACCAAAGUGAGAAGGACCACGGAGGGGGACACUAAACACCUGAAGACUUUGAAAUGGCACAGUGGGUGCAAGAGGAACAUCGUGCCACAAAAUGCCAUCAGAUUGUCCCAGGCAGUCUGGACCAUGACCUCCAUGAGAGCAGGAACUUGUUCCACCUUGUUCUCUGCUGAUGCUCAGUACCUAAAACAACUGAUACACUGCAGAAACUCACAAGUAUUUAUUCACUGAAAGAAAAAGCUGAAACGGGGCCAGGGAUUUAGCUCAGUGGUUUCACCGCCUGCUGCGCAAGCACAAGGAC